GACGAACGCUGGCGGCGUGCUUAACACAUGCAAGUCGAACGGUAAGGCCCUUCGGGGUACACGAGUGGCGAACGGGUGAGUAACACGUGGGUGAUCUGCCCUGCACUUCGGGAUAAGCCUGGGAAACUGGGUCUAAUACCGGGUAGGACCACUGCCUGCAUGGGUGGUGGUGGAAAGCUUUUGCGGUGUGGGAUGGGCCCGCGGCCUAUCAGUUUGUUGGUGGGGUGAUGGCCUACCAAGGCGACGACGGGUAGCCGGCCUGAGAGGGUGACCGGCCACACUGGGACUGAGAUACGGCCCAGACUCCUACGGGAGGCAGCAGUGGGGAAUAUUGCACAAUGGGCGCAAGCCUGAUGCAGCGACGCCGCGUGAGGGAUGACGGCCUUCGGGUUGUAAACCUCUUUUAGCAGGGAAGAAGCGAGAGUGACGGUACCUGCAGAAAAAGCACCGGCUAACUACGUGCCAGCCGCCGCCGUAA
rnacentral:rRNA from 1 species